AUGAUGAUGUCAUUCUAUCUAUUGCUGGUGAUGCUGGGACUCCUUGCACAGGGAUCAGUGGCAGAUACAGUCCUGACUCAGUCUCCAGUAGCUCAGUCUGUUCAGCCUGGAGACACUGUCUCUAUCAGCUGUACAGCCAGUGAGGAUUUGAGCAACUGGCUCCAGUGGUACCUGCAGAAACCUGGUCAGGCUCCUAAACUUCUGAUUUAUGAUGGCACAGCUCGCCAGACUGGGAUUCCUGAUCGUUUCAGUGGGAGUGGAUCUGGGACUCAGUUCACGCUGAAAAUCACUGGAGUCCAGGCUGAAGAUGCAGGAGAUUAUUACUGUCAGCAGGACGAGAGCUUCCCGUUCACACAGUGUUAGAGAGCCGUACAAAAACCUCCCUCAGUCAGACUGCACAGAGACUGCACUGCAGCUGGGACCU